rnacentral:miRNA from 1 species
CACCAGGCUGGGUGCAGUGGCACAUGCCUGUAAUCUCAGCAGCUUGGGAGGCUGAGGCAGGAGGAU